rnacentral:tRNA from 1 species
GGGAUGUUAGCUCAGUGGUAGAGUGCCUGCCUAGUAAGUAUGAGGCCCUGGGCACGAUCCCCAGUUCCA